rnacentral:rRNA from 1 species
GACGAACGCUGGCGGCGUGCUUAACACAUGCAAGUCGAACGGUGAAGCGCUUGCCUUUUUGGUGGGUGUGGAUGAGUGGCGAACGGGUGAGUAACACGUGAGUAACCUGCCCUCUUCUUCUGGAUAACCUCAUGAAAGUGGGGCUAAUACGGGGUAUUCCGGGUCUGUCGCAUGGCGGGUUUGGGAAAGAUUGCGCCUUUGGGUGUUAUCGGUGGGGGAUGGGCUCGCGGCCUAUCAGCUUGUUGGUGGGGUGAUGGCCUACCAAGGCGGUGACGGGUAGCCGGCCUGAGAGGGUGGACGGCCACACUGGGACUGAGACACGGCCCAGACUCCUGCGGGAGGCAGCAGUGGGGAAUAUUGCACAAUGGGCGCAAGCCUGAUGCAGCGACGCCGCGUGAGGGAUGGAGGCCUUCGGGUUGUGAACCUCUUUCGCCAGUGAAGCAGGCCUGCUCCUGUGUGGGUGGGUUGACGGUAGCUGGAUAAGAAGCGCCGGCUAACUACGUG